ACAAAUAGGAUGCUUGAUGAAGUUACAGGUUCUGGAAGGAUACCGAGAAUUUACUUGAGAAUGAGACGCAGAGCAGCGCCCGCUCCAGUUACAGGAUCUGGCAGGAUACCUGAGAUUGAGAGGCAGCGCCCACUCCAGAUUCUUCUUCCAGGAUACUGAGAAUUUACCUGACAAUGAGAGGUUGAGCAGCGUCUGCUCCAGGUUCUGGCAAAAAUUGAUCAAGUUCUAAACAAAUCUGAAGCCAGGAGAAGUUGCGAGCUGCUGAAGGUUACGGCGGCGCCAGCACGGCCACCACGGCAUCAGUUAGACAGUCUCGGGGAUUUUAGCUGAUGUAUCAGUUAGCUUUUAAUUCUUCCUUUUCUUUCCCUCUGUUAUGGAGCUUAUUUCCCUGUAGGAAAAUUCACAAUAUGUCAUAUCUUUUUUUGCAGAAAAUUUGUAUAGUUAACUAUCUGCCGCCUGUACUUCCUAACCUCAACUACCAAUCAAUGAGAUUACCGACUUCUCUAACAAAUAGUUGUAAUUACACUGUUUCACUGCAAAUUGACGACAUACCAUUUAACUGUUC